rnacentral:rRNA from 1 species
AUUGAACGCUGGCGGAAUGCUUUACACAUGCAAGUCGAACGGCAGCACGGGGCAACCUGGUGGCGAGUGGCGAACGGGUGAGUAAUACAUCGGAACGUGCCCAAUCGUGGGGGAUAACGUAGCGAAAGUUACGCUAAUACCGCAUACGAUCUACGGAUGAAAGCGGGGGAUCGCAAGACCUCGCGCGAGUGGAGCGGCCGAUGUCAGAUUAGGUAGUUGGUGGGGUAAAGGCUCACCAAGCCAACGAUCUGUAGCUGGUCUGAGAGGACGACCAGCCACACUGGAACUGAGACACGGUCCAGACUCCUACGGGAGGCAGCAGUGGGGAAUUUUGGACAAUGGGCGCAAGCCUGAUCCAGCCAUUCCGCGUGCAGGAUGAAGGCCUUCGGUUGUAAACUGCUUUGUUACGGAACGAAACGGCGAGCUCUAAUACAGUUUGCUAAUGACGGUACCGUAAGAAUAAGACACCGGCUAAC